AACAUACAACAGAAGGGAUUCGCUGGUGGUCACCCACCCAACUACUAACCUCCCGGCGUGUGGCUUAAGUACGGCUGAGCGGACGGGAAGCCCUGUUUUCCACACCCUAUGGUCGU
rnacentral:rRNA from 1 species